rnacentral:rRNA from 1 species
UGCCAGCAUCCGCGGUACUACAUAUUGGUGCAAGCGUUGUUCGGAAUUAUUGGGCGUAAAGCGUGCGUAGGCGGACUAUUAAGUCUGGUGUGAAAUCCCUCGGCUCAACCGAGGACCUGCAUUGGAUACUGGUAGUCUUGAGUCCCGGAGAGGAUAGCGGAAUUCCUAGUGUAGAGGUGAAAUUCGUAGAUAUUAGGAGGAACACCAGUGGCGAAAGCGGCUAUCUGGACGGUGACUGACGCUGAGGCACGAAAGCAUAGGUAGCAAACAGGAUUAGAUA